GGGAGGGGACAGGAGUGAUUGCAAAAUGGACCGAGCAGGCUGCCCCUGCUGCAGGAAGCAAACAAAGGGGGACAAUCAAGACCCGGUCCAGCUGUCAGGAUGCUGGGAUCAGAGACAUGCAGGAGGCUAGACUGUAAAUAAAAGGUCUCAACCUUUCCUGAGAAAAAGGAUCAAGGUCAGAGGUCAUCUACAGAGCAGCCUGAGGAACAUAUCAGAAGUGCUGUCACACAUAUGAUCUCCCUCUCCAUGGAACAGUAAAACCAGGCUUUAAACAUCAGAAACAACACAAACCUCCUGAAACAGAGAUGAAAGCCUGCAGCCGGAAUAUCUUUGAAGAUAUAUCACAAACUACCUGUCCCUGCAAAGACUGAGAUGUAGGCCCAAAUAACAAAACAUGUAGAACAGCUCAGAGACGUCACCCAUUGGUUCCUGAGGAGGUUAUGAAGCCCAAAGAUGGAGGUCCCCAUGCUGGAAAUGUUGACUCCAGCUAACUUCAGGUCAACACAGAUGGUGGUCCUCGUGCAGGCCUCAAGCCUCCUGACAAACAGCCACAACACUGUGAGUCAGCUAGGCCACGCCCCUCAUU